rnacentral:rRNA from 1 species
AAUCAACGCUGGCGGCGUGCCUAACACAUGCAAGUCGAACGCGAAAGGGGGCUUCGGCUCCUGAGUAGAGUGGCGUCCGGGUGAGUAACACGUAGGUAAUCUACCUUCGGGUGGGGAAUAACCAGUCGAAAGAUUGGCUAAUACCGCAUAAUGGCAGCGGCACCUAAUGGUGAUUAGUUGUUAAAGCGGGGGAGUCGUAAGACCUCGCGCCUGAAGAGGAGCCUGCGGCAGAUUAGCUAGUUGGUGAGGUAAUGGCUCACCAAGGCAUCGAUCUGUAGCUGGUCUGAGAGGACGGCCAGCCACACUGGCACUGACACACGGGCCAGACUCCUACGGGAGGCAGCAGUGGGG